CGGAGGAAAAGAAACCAACAGGGAUUGCCUCAGUAACGGCGAGUGAAGCGGCAAAAGCUCAAAUUUUAAAGCUGACAUCUUCGGUGUCCGCGUUGUAAUUUUGUGAGGCAUCUCCGGGUAGGGCGCCGGCCUAAGUUCCUUGGAACAGGACGUCACAGAGGGUGAGAAUCCCGUGCUUGGCUGGCUGUCCCCGUCCAUGUGAGGUGUCUUCGACGAGUCGAGUUGUUUGGGAAUGCAGCUCAAAAUGGGUGGUAAAUUUCAUCUAAAGCUAAAUAUUGGUGGGAGACCGAUAGCGCACAAGUAGAGUGAUCGAAAGAUGAAAAGCACUUUGAAAAUAGAGUUAAAAAGUACGUGAAAUUGUUGAAAGGGAAGCGCUUGAGACCAGACUUCGGUAAGGGGUGAUCAGCCGUCCUUCUGGGCGGUGCACUUGCCCCCCUCCGGGCCAGCAUCGGUUGAGGCGGCGGGAUAAAGGUCCCGGGAAUGUGGCUCCUUCACGGGAGUGUUAUAGCCCGGGUGAAUGCCGCCAGCUUCGACCGAGGACCGCACCCGCAAGGGUUAGGAUGCUUGGCAUAAUGGUCUUCAGCGACCCG
rnacentral:rRNA from 1 species